rnacentral:rRNA from 1 species
CCAGACUCCUACGGGAGGCAGCAGUGAGGAAUAUUGGUCAAUGGGCGAGAGCCUGAACCAGCCAAGUCGCGUGAGGGAUGACGGCCCUACGGGUUGUAAACCUCUUUUGUCGGGGAGCAAAUUCCGCCACGUGUGGCGGAGUCGAGAGUACCCGAAGAAAAAGCAUCGGCUAACUCCGUGCCAGCAGCCGCGGUAAUACGGAGGAUGCGAGCGUUAUCCGGAUUUAUUGGGUUUAAAGGGUGCGUAGGCGGACGCUUAAGUCAGCGGUAAAAUUGCGGGGCUCAAUCUCGUCGAGCCGUUGAAACUGGGUGCCUUGAGUGGGCGAGAAGUACGCGGAAUGCGUGGUGUAGCGGUGAAAUGCAUAGAUAUCACGCAGAACUCCGAUUGCGAAGGCAGCGUACCGGCGCCCAACUGACGCUGAAGCACGAAGGCGUGGGUAUCGAACAGGAUUAGAUACCCAGUA